GUUGUGAAAACAAGUUUUGAUUUUGGGAUUGUUUGAUAGGAAGUUUAGUUGAUGGAAUUGAAUUGUUUGUUAAUGGUAUUGAGAGUCGUGGGGUUGAGCUUGUGUGGCUGAGAAAUUGGAAAACAUAGAGAAAUUAGACAGUAAAUGUUAUAUGACUCAAACUACAUCACUGGAGGAAACUAAUAAGUAUGAUUUUUCAUUCACUUAUUGUAGUGUGUCUGAAAUUUGAAGGUUUAGCGAACUUGGUGACUUCAUUGCCAAUUAUUAUGAUCUGCCUUGUUUGCUUUUGUUAGGAUUUAUGUACGCUGUAUCGAAUGUAUGUUUUGCUUGUGGUGUAUUUGGUAAUAGGAAAACAGAAAAUGUUGAUAACAUCGAGUUAUAGAGACCAAGUUUAGGUGACCCAGAGAACCAUCUCUAGAAAAGAAAAGAAAUGAAGAAGUGUUGAUUAUCAUCUUGUUUGCUUUCACUUCAUUCUACUAGUUUGUAGCUUGACAACCUCAAUAGUUGCAUAUAAAAGCUGAAGUAUUAGUCUUUCAGAUUGUCCCUAGUAUUGGGUUUCUGUUAUCUCUUCGUAUUAGUUGUUAGUAGCUUAUUAUAUCACAAGUGAAAUCAAAAUUGAAUACAUUCAGGCUUAGUUUCAGUUUACAAGUAUGGUUCUGAAUGUCUCCCCUACUUUGUUGGAAGCUUAUUUCUAGUCUGGAUAAAAACAUGCUGAGUUGUUGUCCCUAGAAUUCUGUUGGUUUUGGCAGCGUUAUAAAUUUGUGAACUGUGGUAUAUAUAUUUUACUGUUAGUCAUGCACACAUAUCGAUGUACCAUUUCGCUUACUCUCGUGCAAUUGUCCAAUUUGACAGGGAUUCUUCAAUUUUACGUCACGCAGACCUCGGCAUCUUUUGCAUCUUUUGAAGCUUGGAUAUAAUGUCAUGUACAACGACGUUGAUAUGGUCUGGUUGGAAGAGACCCCUUUACAUAUCUUAAAGCCACCUCCUGGCAAGAAGGGGCUUACAUACAUUUGCAGCUGCAUGAUUUUCCUCAGCCCAACCCCUGGAGCAAAAUUAGUUAUGAAGAAAUGGAUCGAAGAACUUCAAGAUCAACCAUGGUCUGAAAAAGCAAAGGCAAAUGACCAACCUGGGUUCAAUUGGACCUUUGAAUAAAACUGCUGGACAAGGUGGAUCUGCAUCUGCGUUUCCAUCAGGAGGAGGAUUAUAUUUCAAGAACAAGACUUGGGUGGAAAACAUGCUAUCAUCCAUAACUUUGAGAAGAAAAUACAGGGUUUUUAUGAUUUUGGAUUCAGGCUUGUGGAUGAGCAUUCCAAUGAGUCCCCUCACUUGGUAAUCCGUAUCCGAAACUAAAACUUUUUGUGUUCCCAGGGUCUGGAGUUCGUACCGAGAGCACUUUUUGAAAAAAAAAGAAGAAGAGCUAAUUCCUUUAUAGUAGAAGUAACAGUCUCUUUUACUCUCUCCAUAACAGCUUGUACAUCUUUAACUUGUGAAAUUAGUGUUUUUGAUGAAAGGCAUGAUGAUUUU